rnacentral:rRNA from 1 species
UACGUAGGGGGCGAGCGUUAUCCAGAUUUACUGGGCGUAAAGCGCGUGUAGGCGGCUGGUUAGGUGUGAUGUGAAAUCCUCGGGCUCAACCCGAGAACUGCAUUGCAAACCGGCCUGGCUAGAGUGCAGGAGAGGGAAGCGGAAUUCCAGGUGUAGCGGUGAAAUGCGUAGAUAUCUGGAGGAACACCGGUGGUGUAAACGGCUUUCUGGACCAUAACUGACGCUGAUGCGCGAAAGCUAGGGGAGCAAACAGG